CGUAUUGGUGACGCGGAGGGACAUUACAGAGUUCUAAAAGACUCCCAACACCAUUGUGAACGUUACCCGUCAGACGUUGCCUCGGCGGGCGGCCCCUCCCUGGGGCCGCUGCCUCCCCGCUCGGGGGGGCGCCCGCCGGCGCGCGAGAAAACUCUUUUGUAUUUUAGUGGCCUCUCUGAGAAAACAAGCAAAUAAGUUAAAACUUUCAACAACGGAUCUCUUGGUUCUGGCAUCGAUGAAGAACGCAGCGAAAUGCGAUAAGUAAUGUGAAUUGCAGAAUUCAGUGAAUCAUCGAAUCUUUGAACGCACAUUGCGCCCGCUAGUACUCUAGCGGGCAUGCCUGUUCGAGCGUCAUUUCAACCCUCAAGCCCUGCUUGGUGUUGGGGUCCUACGGCUGCCGUAGGCCCUGAAAACUAGUGGCGGGCUCGCUAUAACUCCGAGCGUAGUAGUAAAAUAUCUCGCUAGGGAGGUGUCGCGGGUUCCGGCCGUGAAAGCCCCAUCUUUUACACAAGGUUGACCUCGGAUCAGGUAGGAAUACCCGCUGAACUUAAGCAUAUCAAA
rnacentral:rRNA from 1 species